GAUGAACGCUGGCGGCGUGCCUAAUACAUGCAAGUCGAGCGAACGGACGAGAAGCUUGCUUCUCUGAUGUUAGCGGCGGACGGGUGAGUAACACGUGGAUAACCUACCUAUAAGACUGGGAUAACUUCGGGAAACCGUAGCUAAUACCGGAUAAUAUUUUGAACCGCAUUGUUCAAAAGUGAAAGACGGUCUUGCGGUCACUUAUAGAUGGAUCCGCGCUGCAUUAGCUAGUUGGUAAGGUAACGGCUUACCAAGGCAACGAUGCAUAGCCGACCUGAGAGGGUGAUCGGACACACUGGAACUGAGACAGGGUCCAGACUCCUGCGGGAGGCCGCAGUAGGGACUCUUCCGCAAUGGGGGAAAGCCUGACGGAGCAACGUCGCGUGAGUGAUGAAGGUCUUCGGAUCGUAAAACUCUGUUAUUAGGGAAGAACAUAUGUGUAAGUAACUGUGAACAUCUUGACGGUACCUAAUCAGAAAGCCACGGCUAACUCCGUG
rnacentral:rRNA from 1 species